rnacentral:lncRNA from 1 species
CGCCGAAUGGGACUCUUGUGGUUUUGUAUUCGAAAUUCAAUUUUGUACGGACAAAAGUGAGUUUUGUUCAACAAAAAUGAGUUCAGUUUAACAAAAUUUGAUACUACAAAUUUAAAAUUUUGUCAUACAAAAUUAUCUUCCAGUGGACAAAAGUUACGUUUGUCAUGACAAAAUUCAUUUUUGUAACACAGACUUUACUUUUGUUACCUAA